rnacentral:hammerhead_ribozyme from 1 species
GUACAGCUGACGAGUCACAAAUAGGACGAAAUGCGCAUCGUGGAU